rnacentral:rRNA from 1 species
UACGUAGGGUGCGAGCGUAAUCGGAAUUACUGGGCGUAAAGCGUGCGCAGGCGGUUUUGUAAGCCAGAUGUGAAAGCCCCGGGCUUAACCUGGGAAUGGCAUUUGGGACUGCAAGGCUUGAGUGCGGCAGAGGAGACUGGAAUUCCUGGUGUAGCAGUGAAAUGCGUAGAUAUCAGGAGGAAUACCGAUGCGGAAGGCAGGUCUCUGGGCUGACACUGACGCUCAUGCACGAAAGCGUGGGGAGCAAC